GCUUACAUCAGUAUGUAUCAGCGUAUGAAGUUUGACACUAAUUUAAGAAAAGUGAGGUCAAGGUCAAAGGAAAGGUCAAAAAAAUAUUGAUGCAGUUGAAUAGCUCUCAUCAGUAUGUAUCAGCAAAUGAAGUUUGACACUAACUUAAGAAAAGUGAGGUCAAAGUAAA